rnacentral:rRNA from 1 species
AUUGAACGCUGGCGGCAUGCCUAAUACAUGCAAGUCGAACGAGGGGCGGACGGGUGUGUAAUGUCUGGGAAACUGCUUUAUGGAUGGGGAUAACUACUGGAAACGGUAGCUAAUACCGCAUACCAUCAGAUGUGCCCAGAUGGGAUUAGCUAGUUGGUGGGGUAACGGCUCACCAAGGCAACGAUCCCUAGCGGGUCUGAGAGGAUGACCAGCCACACUGGAACUGAGACACGGUCCAGACUCCUACGGGAGGCAGCAGUAGGGAAUAUUGCGCAAUGGGCGAAAGCCUGAUGCAGCCAUGCCGCGUGUAUGAAGAAGGCCUUCGGGUUGUAAAGUACUUUCAGCAGGGAAGCGUUACCCGCAGAGGAAGCACCGGCUAACUCCGUGCCAGCAGCCGCGGUAAUAC